GUGGUCUGGGUGUUGCUGACUCUAGUCCCUGGACUCUCUAAUUGGUAGAAAGAGGUUUAUGAUCUGUGAACAUGCCUAAUAAAUCACCUGUGAUUGGUAAAUCUGAAGUAGUAUCUUCCUCUUAUGAAAAAUCAAAGCUACCAUUUUCAAUCACAAAAGAAUUCAUCUUGAGAUUCAAUCAAACCAAAAAUCCGAAAGAGGAGGAAGAACUCCUGGACAUAGCUAGAAAAAACAUCAUCAAAUGCAAGAGAAAACUGGGUCUCAGGACCUUAGGGAUGGGGAGGCACGUGCACCUUCCUGCUGCAUGGACCGAAGUGGUGUACCUGGCUCAGUGCAAAGGAGAAGUCCAGGACGAAGCUUUAAAUAUGCUCUAUGCUUCCCUGGACCAUGCUGUCUUUGAUUGCGAUCAUCUGCCUGCCUUAUUUUUUGUUGCGGAAUCAGUUCUAUACAGACUCUGCUGUGAUGCAUUCCAAAAGGCAUACUUAUACUCGGUUGAAAUCAAGCUGGCAAAGAUUGGCUAUUUGGUCUUCUUACGACUUUUUAUAUAUUUCCUUCACGGUCACCUGGAAAAUUUUAAACAACAUUUACUUAGGCUUCAACCGUAUUUAUACGCACUUUCUUGCUCCAAAGAAUUAUAUUGGAUGUAUCCAAACAUCUCUUCGAAUGUGCAGUGCAUUCUGAAAAUCAUGGAAAUUAUAUGUAAAAGAGAACUCCCUUCUGAAUCAAUUUUUAGCCCUGUGAAAGACAAGAAUACAGAUUCUGGAAUGGAACAUUUGCAACUUAAUCAGAAAGGAUAUGAAAUUAGCCACCUGCUCUGGCACUGUGUUUCUGCCUGGACUUGUGUUCAGAAGAACAGUCCCCAGUUAAACAAGGUGCUUGAACAUCUCAUCUCUCGUAAAACACAGCUUCAAAAGGAAUCUUGGUUGGAUUCAGCCUUGGCUUUGUUGGUCCUUGGGGAGGCUGCCAGAUUAAACAUAGCUUGUUUGAAAGCGUUCAUGGACCUAAUGAGAGAUUUUCUGUUAAGCAUUAUGUCUGUUCAAAAUCAGGAUAAAAGCUGCGAGGUAGAUGAUUUUUCCUGGGCCCAGAAUGUAGUCUCCAUAUACAUAAAAAUUCUUGCAGAAAUCUGCUUAUAUGCGACCAAUUCUGUUUUGAGAAAGACUGCUUUAGUUGGUUUCUGUGACUGUGAAAGUCCACAGAACGAUGUUUUACUUGUGGGCAAAUCACCAGAAGAGCCAGAAUUGAGGGAAACAAGCAUUUCGGGUCUUUUGGAAUAUUUCUUUUCAGAAACAUCAGAUUGUUGUGAUCAAGUGAGAUGGGCUGGACGCUAUGGCCUACUGUACAACCUGGAGAAAAUGUCAUGGGAACUUCGGGGAGAUAAAGAGCAGGAUGGACUUAGGAACAAAAUAUGGCAAAUGUUACAGAAAACAAAAGAUCGUGAGAAAGAUGGGCAAAUCUGUAACGCAGUAAAUAUCGCUCAGGCAGAGAUAAAUGACCCAACUGAUCCUUUCACAAGUUAUAGUACAAAAGUUUCAUCAAAUAUAGGGGAUGAAAGUUUCUCCAAAUAUAUAGGCUGGAGAAUUGCCAGUGUGCUUUCCAAGCUGUUCUUCCCUUCCAUGGAUGCCUGUAUUCUUUCUCUAAAAAGACCAGUGAUGAAACGGUAUCAAAGGAGAGAUGUGAACAAAACGCAGAAUUCCAUGAAGAAGAGAGUUCUACGUUUUACUGUAAGGGAAUAUUCUUCUGUGGCAGAAGCUCCUUUGUUUCCAUAUCCAGAUUUUUUCACCAGGGCAGACAGAGAGUUGGCAAGAAUCAUUGACCAUCACUGGCAGGAAGAGCAGAAGACGCGGCAGAAGGAAGACGCGAUAUGUGAGGCUGAGGAGCGGAAAGAUAAGGAGUUGCAGGAGCAAAACCGCCUGAGAGAGAUAAUGAAGAGAAGGGAAGAGAAGUUGCACAAGCAGACCAGACCUUAUGAGCUUCCUCCCAGGGCCGAAGAAGCCUCCCUAGAAAAGAAAACUACCUAG
rnacentral:lncRNA from 1 species